rnacentral:rRNA from 1 species
AUUGAACGCUGGCGGCAGGCCUAACACAUGCAAGUCGAACGAGUGGCGGACGGGUGAGUAAUGUCUGGGGAACUGCCCGAUGGAGGGGGAUAACUACUGGAAACGGUAGCUAAUACCGCAUACCAUCGGAUGUGCCCAUAUGGGAUUAGCUAGUAGGUGGGGUAAUGGCUCACCUAGGCGACGAUCCCUAGCUGGUCUGAGAGGAUGACCAGCAACACUGGAACUGAGACACGGUCCAGACUCCUACGGGAGGCAGCAGUGGGGAAUAUUGCACAAUGGGCGCAAGCCUGAUGCAGCCAUGCCGCGUGUAUGAAGAAGGCCUUCGGGUUGUAAAGUACUUUCAGCGAGGAGGCGUUACCCGCAGAAGAAGCACCGGCUAACUCCGUGCCAGCAGCCGCGGUAAUUC